GUCACACAAAGCCGCCGAGGGUCGGCUGCGCCCCUGGCAAGGCUGUAGGGCUGGGGAUACUGAGUAUGACAGGCGAGGUCCCUGCUCUCAAGAACUUACAUGGGAGAGAAGGGGAGACAAGAUAAACAGGUAAACACACACACACACACGGUAAGCACGGUAAUUUCAGACAAUGAUUUUUAUGAAAACAUGAAACGGGGUAAGGGGGUCGGGCUGCUUUCCCUGGGGCCUUCAGUGGGGUGGGCAGGGAACAAGCCUUUCUCUCCCCAGAGCUCGGCGUCAGUCAACCUAGCUGACGCUCUCGCCUUUGGCGAAGCGCUCUAAGGCCGGGACGCUCCUUUGUUAUUCAAAAGGAGCCGGGCGAGCGCCAGCCAGGCCCUGGAGGAUGGAGUUGCGGCCAAUAGGCUCGAUAGGCCGAUGGGCUCCGCAGACCGGUGGGGGGUGCUCCUCCCAGCCCAGCCCUGGACGCCGGGCUCCGCGCCCGCCAGCGCUGCUCCCUCCCAGCGCGGAGACGCCGCGCCCGGCCGGGACAGCCGGGGACGGUGGCGGAGAGCACGGAGAGUAAUUAAGCAAUUAGCGACGUGUUGUUAAAAGAUGGAGCAACUCAACCCAAAAAGGUUGGUCUGUAUGGUGACGGAAUGUGGUCUCCCAGUUUUCAGCACAGCACUCAUUCAGCUAUUCUGCUCUUCAGAAAGCAGGAGGGAUGUGCCCUAAGGUGGACUAUUGAAAUGAUGAAAGCCACUGAGGAAGAGCCAGAGAAUUCUCGUAGCUGUGAUUAGACAUCAACCUUGGGCAUGCUAAACAUUUCAGCCUGGACACCCUGAGAAGAGCCAGUGCCACUGGUGACAGCUGCUUCUGUGCGGGCUUUUGCUUGGCCAGAGAGGCAGGACCUUCUCCCUGGCAUUUUGAGGAGUGGUGCCGGGUGGGCAGUGACUGCACUAGCAACAGUCUAUACCAAGAGAAGACCUCAAAUUCCCAGAGAAGAAAGGCAGCGAGGCCAAGAAAUGCUGCCGCCGCUUAACAAGUGAAGAUGCAUACUGGAGAAUAGGAACUGAACACGCGAAGGAGUUUCGGCUUUACUGCCUUCUCUCCUAGCAUUGAACAGAUCUUCUCUGCUGUUGAUUAUUCUCCAUGAAUCAUCAUCCAUAGAAAGUGACUGAGGCAAUAGAGAGUGAAUAAUGAAUCUCUCAAAUAGUCUUUUGUGUUUCUGCCUGGAGGGUUUUGGAAAUAACUUGCAUCUUAAUCUUUCUGACUUAGAAUCAUAGAAUUUGGGAGCUGAAAAGGACCUUCAUCAGGGCAUGUGGCCUCACAGAAAGACUGGAAGAAAAGAUUUGUGGGUAUGAGCCUCUGGUUCAUCACUAAAAAUAGGCCUAGUCUAACAUAUAUUGGAGGCUUUCCUUGUGUCAGGUACUCAUUUAUUCUUCCAAAACCUUGGGAGGUAGGUGCUGCUAUUCCUCCAUUCUGCAGAGGAGGAAGAGAUGAGGAGACAGUAGAUCACCAGAGGGCAGUGUGAGGGGUGUGCUGGAACCAUCAUGUGGAACUGGCUCUGGUUCCAGAAUCCACAUCCUCUCGGUCAUUCCACUCCCACAUCAAGUGGCUUUGGACAAGUAAUUUAACUUCUUUGGAUCUCAGUUUUCUCCUCCGUGAUCUCUAAAGUUUAAAAAUUACUAACAGUCUGCAUCUGCCACCCAAGCAUGUGAUUUUACAAGUCAGAAAAGUGUAGCGCAGAAAUGUUAAGUGACCUGCCCUAGGUCACCCAGGUUGCUAAGGGCAGAAUCAGCACAGAAACCCAGGCCCAGUGACCACUGCCCCCAGGCAAGACCUCCUUCCCUUCCACUGCACUUUGGCAGGUGUUCUAGGGGAAUCCAACUCCUUGCCUUAGAGGAGACCUGUUCAAUGAUAUCAGAUAGACUGGAGAUGUUACGUUUUGGUGUGGCCAAUCACAACACCAGGAUGAGCUUAGGAGGCUGGUGAUAUUUGUCUAUCUAAGCACCCCCAACCUAUCUAUCUGUCUGCUGUUUGUCUAUCUUUCUCAGGUUAUGCAUAGUGACCAAACCCCGCCUGGUAACUGUAGGGAAAGAGCAUGACUGGUGUGUUACAGCUACACACGCCCCCUGGUGGUAUUUCCAGUUGUUUGUCCUCUUCAUGCAAAUGUUGCCACCUUGUGCCAGCUCUCUCACCUAGCUUCCUUCAUGACGACAGUGGUUGCAAUUCUGCUCCUCUCUCUGCCUUCCCCUGUCCUUGGCUCCCCAUGUCCAGAAUCUGAUCAUUUACUGGUGUGCACCCUGGGAUGUGAUGUGUGCUUUGGGAGGAGACAGGACCCAACAGUAUCUCAGCUGUGCUCUGGUAAUCAGUGUGCACCACAUUACAAGCAUCCUCAUCCCAGUAUCCUCCCUAUUGAAAAAGAAAUGGGAAAGGGGUGGAUGUGUCAAUAAACACAACAUUGAAGGCAUCUGAAAUAGAACAAGGACAUCCUGGGUGAGGCAUUAUUCACAAUGUGUAUCCAUAUAUGUGUGUGAGUGUGUGUGUGUGUGUGUGGUUCAGACAGUCUGAAAUGAGCUCUCACCCACUGGUGAGUGGAAAAUUAGCUUUGGCAGGUGAAGAACUGGGUGACAGGUGAGGAAGCCACCAGGGUAUCAGUGUUAUCCUUCUACUAUUGCUGUUUCUGGUGUUGCUAACAAUAUCUCUCCCACCUCUCCCUGUUCCAUGAAAUGUAAUUAGGUAGAGUAGAAAUGACUUGGAAGGGCUUGGGCACGUGGGAGAGUAAUAUGAAGAUGUUACAAUGGCCUUGUGACCUUGUAAGUGAGCCAUGUGCUUGCAGGUGGGCUGCGCUAGGCUAGUUGCGAAUUAGCAUUUUCCUGACGGCCCAUGAAGCAAGCUGUGUGGUUUUCAUUUCUAGUGGGUGGAAGAAAAGAUGGCACUCCAGGGACUAAGUCCUAGGAAAUUCUGCCAUCUGGCAUAAUGUUGGAGGCAGUGUGUGCCAGGGCAGGAAAUAUGGGUUCUUGGGCUGGCUCUAGAUUGGCCCUGUAAUCUCUAAUGCCUCAGUUUCUCUAACUGUAAAGUGGGACAGAUAAUCCCACUGCUACCUUCUUGUGAAGGUAAAGUAUGCAAAGGCCCUUUGAAAUGUCGAGAGCACGGUUCUAAAUGUGGCUUGCCUGCCAAAGGAAUUUGCCAGGCCUACUGGGAGGCAGCAGUUUGCUUCUGUGUCAGUUUCUACAGUCUGUGCUCAGACAGGUACUUAAGCAUCUCACAUCCAUAAAUCUCACCUCCUAUCUAUAGUCAGCAAAUAAGAAAAAGGGCAGGCUGAUGCUCUGCUUCUGUCUGAUCUUCUUACCAAUCCUACCCUUGCCUCCCCUCCCCCUGACCUGAUGCGAUGAUCUUGCUGCUCUCCCUCAUCUGUUCUGGGCCUGUCAGUUUAAUUUAACAAGGUUCUGGGAGAGGUUUGAUUUAAUCAACCCAGUUGCUGUAUCCAUCCUGCUCAGAGGUCCCUCAGUGUCACCACCGAGGCUCAGAUUAGACAGUGACAAUUACUUCUUCUUUCCUGGCUAUUGCCUCCCCCUUCCCUUUCACUCCCUGGAGGGAACAAGGAGGCAGACCAAUCUCUUGGGACCUAAGAAUAGAUGCGGGAGGAUCAAAGGAGGGAAACAGGCUCUGGCCUGAGAAAGCCCCUCUCCAUACCUUACAUGGCCUUGUUUAAGGCUGAGUAACAGCCCAAAGGGUGGAGGGAAUAGAAAAUGUGAGCGAAGCUGCCUUGCAAAGGCUCAAGGCUGCCUGAGGACAGAGCUGUGCCAUCACUGAUGGCCCCACAGAGAUAAAACCAGUCUCCCUUAUUGUCAGGAAACUGGGGUGGAGGGUGGGUAGAGAAGUAAGAUAGCUGCAUGCUCUAUGUACUCCAGACCACGAGCAUUUAUUUCCAGGUUCUCGGCCUGGAUUCUGGGGUCUCCGGAGCUGGGAGACAACCACAACAACAGGAAGGCGAGGCCCCAUCCAUCUGAGCUUCUGUGGCUCUGUUCUUGGUGUGGAAGCUGCAGUGACAAGAGGAGAUGCCACCUGAGCCAGGGGUUCAGGGGCAGCUGUGUGGGUGUGAGGUAACUAUGCUGUGUGUGUUGGGGUGUGUGUGUGUGUGUGUGUGUGUGCGCGCGCGCGCGUGCUAGGGAGCCAAGGCAGGGGAGUCUCUGGUGCAGACAGUUCAAAAUUCCAGAACAAAUCUCUUUUGUUGUCAUUUAACCCUUUCAUUUCCCUCUCUUUUCAGGAAGUGGGUGCUCAGCACCUCUUGUUCUCCUAAUCAGCUCAGAGAAGAGACAAAGGCCUCUUCAAGGGAAGCCCUUACUUAGGGUGAUAGAAAUUCUUUUUCUUUUUGCUCCUUUGUGUCACAUUCUUCCAUCGGUCAGCAGGCAACUGACAGGUGUACCCCUCCCUGAGCCCCAUUCAGAGUUCCCCUCCCUGCCAUUUGUCUCUCACCCAGAUAUCCAGCAGACACCACCAUCCACAGGAGCUGAAUAUGAUUAGCAGAAACCCUUCCUGACAGCUCCAAAGAGGAUCCCUCAAAUGCAUAUUCUAUUGAGUGCAUCUCAUUGCUGCUGACAGCCGCUUUAUCAAUUAAAUUCCACAUUCCGUCUUCAGAGAUGCCAUGAACCUCCCUAAUAAAUCAUAGGCCCCCAGUUAUUGUUAAAUGUCCCAUCAGUCUCUAAUAAACUCCCUGCCAAAAGGGGCAGGUUAUUUAUUAUGCUGCCUGGACAAGAAUAAAUUGGGCCCCUUUCUCGAAAGAAGAGCAAACACGCCACCUUCCUCCCUAAAGACUGAGGCAGUGGUGUUAAAUGGGACAAUUAAUCAAUGUGGGCCUUGUGCAGAGAGGAAUCUGGUCUGAAGCCUGAGGGAGGAUCACCUGGGGUUCUCUUCCAAAGCCAGUCAGGCAAUCCCCAUGGUGGGGGGUGGCUGUGCAGUGGGCAUGGGCUCAGGCUUUUGCUAGUUCUCCCUCUUUCCUAAUUCCUGAGGCUAGUCACCCCAUAAGCCAUGAGACACAUGUAAAAAUGGGUAUUUUCCACGUUGGGAGGUAGCCAGCUAGGAUUGAGCAGGGUCAUGAAAUAAUACAUUCUAUCUAGAAGGGCAGAAGUUGUUUCUUGAUAAACUUGAUACAACAUAAGUUUAUAGAUGGUGCCAGUUCACUGAACAGAUGGCUCAAGAAUAUAACAAUGAAAGUACCCGUGGCUAGGCAAAGCAACUAGGAAGCAUAAGCUAGUUGUGCUUUGCUGGAUAAGCAGCAUGUACAUAGGGGUGGCACUGGCACUUGGAAAGCAGUGUACCAACACCUAAAGUCCUAGGAACUGCUAGAUCUAAGAAACAGUGUGUGUUGUGGGCCUUUCCAUUACUUGCCUCAUAUUAGAUCCCAAACCUAGGUGAUGCUCCAAAGUCUGCAAGUUAAGAUCCAAACUGCUCGGCUUUGCCACUACCCAAGCCCCAAGUUACAUUUCCAGCUGUAUUUCUCUUUACUGCUAAAUAACACUACCCCCCUUUGGAAGAGCAUAAUGGAUGAGGUGCUCCUUAAUAUAGGGCCAGUAUAUCUCUGCAUCCUCAUGUCCAGGUCAUUUCUGCCAUACCUGCCUCUACUCACAGUAAAAGACUUAACUUCCCUAAACAACUAUGGCUUUCAUGCUUCCACGCCUCUACACAAACUGUUCUCUGUGCCUAGAAUAUCUUUCUGAGACUUGUCUGCCUGGUGAGCUCUCUUUCCACUCCCACUGCCUGAUGAACGCCUUAUUCAGGAUAAGCUCAGGGUAUCAGCCCCCACUGCUUCACAGGACUUGAGCUUUGUCUCCUGGUGCUGCUGUCUUGGCAGAAGUGCUGGACUCCAGGAAUUAGGUAAACAAUGAUCUUGUAUGUGCAGUUGUUCUCUCAUACUUCCAUACAUACUUGAAGCAACUUUGAUUUGGGGUGUGGAGGAGAAGGACAUAGAGAAGAAAGCUAUUGCUCUUUGAAUACCAAAAGCUGUUUUCCUCAGUUUCUCAGAAGUUCUCACUCUCUCCCACGACAGCCACACUUUGAACAACUAAGGCCCUGAAAAAAUGUCAGUACUGCAUAUGAUUUUACACCAGCUUGUGCUACUUGCAUAUUUCAUGCUUGAUCAUUUCCCCAGCUGGGCUGUCAACUCUUUUAGGACAGAGGAUAGAAAGAGCCUAGACUUUGCUGUCAAAUAGAUCUGAGUUCCAAUCCCAAUUAUGAGCUCUGUGACUUUGAGCAGAUUACUAAUCUUCUUCUGAGGAGUUACUUGAGGGCAGCAUCUCCUUCGGCAUCUGACAUGUAGAAGGCUUUUAGGAUAAAGUCCAGACACCAACCUGGCCUACACUUCACUCUCCUGCUCAUCAAAGCUUACUGUCCCAUUUGCAUUCUAAGCUCUUUUAGAAUGUGCUAUGGUGGUCCUCACCUCCAGACCUCCGUUUUCCCCUCCUCUGUCACAAGGCCAACUUUGAUUCAUUUUUCAGACUUACUGUAGCUCUCACUAAUGCUAGGAAGAUGUGGCAGAGACUGUUAGUUGCCUCCAAUGUCCUUUCCCCCUUCCUCUAUAGUAAUGGACCUCCUCUCAAAUCAGUGUACAGCUGGGCACGUGAUUGUCCAGAAAAAUGACAUUUCCCAGAUUUUUUUUUUUUUUUUGCAAGAAGGUAUAACUUUAUGGCUAAGUUCUUUCCAAGAAAUGCCAGAUAGUGUGGCAGCUUUUGAGAACAUUUCUUAAAAGGACUGCUGGCAUGAUGACCAUUACCAUUUCUACUUUCUAUUUUGAGUCUUCCUCCUUCCUGCUGGCUGCAAUGCAAACGUGAUGACUGGAACUACAGCAACUGUUUGGGGACCAAGGCAGAAGCCUGGGUGAUUGGGAUCUUUGUGGAUCAGGGCUGUUUAUCAGUCCUGCUUCCAGAAUUCUCUACAAGGGCAAAAUGAACUUCUAUCUUGGGGAGGUAAGCUCCUAUUUUGGGGCCUUACUUUCAAUCAAACCUAAUCUUGAUGGCUAAGUCUUUCUUGGCUCCCCACAUCUGGUUACCUCCUUGACUUCAGUAGCACCCUGCACUUUAUACAGGAAAUGAGGAUACCUGUUUGUGUGCAUCUGUCUCCCCAAGUGCAGAGGCUCUGUUUACUUUGUUCCAUUUUUGUAUCUCUAGCACUUGGCUGGUUUAUACUAGGUGUUCAGAAAAUUUUUGUUGAAUGAUUAGAGAUGUUUUGUAGAUUGAAUGCAAAUAAUAAUAUUGCCUACCUUGUGUUGCUUUGAGGGUCAAAUGAGAAAAAGUGGCUUUAAAAUCUUAAGUUUUCUUCCCUUCUUUCCACAUUCCCCCACCGAUCCUCACACCCAGGGUGGGCCACCUUACAGUAUGCCUUCCUUUAUACUGUUUUCUUUUUCUUUUUUUUUUUUCUUUUGAGACGGAGUCUCGCUCUGUUGCCCAGGCUAGAGUGCAGUGGUGUGAUCUCGGCUCACUGCAAGCUCUGCUUCCCGGGUUCACGCCAUUCUCCUACCUCAGCCUACCGAGUAGCUGGGACUACAGGUGCCCACCACCACGCCCGGCUAACUUUUUGUAUUUUUUUUCUAGUAGAGACAGGGUUUCACCAUGUUAGCCAGGAUGGUCUUGAUCUCCUGACCUUGUGAUCCGCCCACCUCGGCCUCCCAAAGUGCUGGGAUCACAGGCGUGAGCCACCGCGCCUGGCCUGUUUUCUUUUCCUCUGGGUUCAGAAGCCUCCAGUGCAAAAUGAUUGGAUGAGAUCAUUUGAAUCUUAACACCCAUUCUGAGUCUAAGUGUCACUCUCACCUUUUCAGUUCAUAGGAAUCUCUCCCUCCUCUAGCUCCCUGGAAAGGCUCUCCAGGUAGAUGGAACAGCAAAUACAAAGGUAUUGAGGUGUUACAAGUCAUGGAGAAUUAAGCAUCUGGGCUAGUUGGGUCUGGUUGGAGGAGGUAGAUGGGCUGCUCUGCCAGAGAAGAGACAGGGAUCCCACUGUUAUUUAUCCCGGGGGAGGCUGGGAGACAGACACAAUCAAGCCCAUUUCUGUAUGUGUUAUGCUCACACCUUACCUAGUUAUUAAAUGAUUUCUUGCUUUUGUGCAAGAGAUCUUUAUAGCACUAAAAAUUAUGGUCAACAACACUGUUAUAACUUUUGACUAGUGAGAAAAAAAAUUUGUGUUAUUCACCAUGGUUCCCAAUAACAUUACUGCAAUAUUUGUGUCUGUAAAACAUCAAAAACAACAAAUGCAGUAACAGAA
rnacentral:lncRNA from 10 species